CAAGACUAAAAUCAAUGAAGGCACUUACUGGCUGCUGCUAAAAAGACCGAUCAGGAACAGGGACAGAAACCACAAACAUCACCUAUGACCUGGAGAAAUGUGGUUGGUGGAGGUGGAGGCAACUUGAAAGGCAAGGUACUAGAAAAUGUGUGACCUUUUUGGACAGUGGAAUCAGAUUGCUAGGUCGAAUAAGCCUCCGUUUCUUGAAGCUGAGAAGAGGGCGUGUGCGGGC